rnacentral:rRNA from 1 species
UACGAAGGGGGCUAGCGUUGCUCGGAAUCACUGGGCGUAAAGCGCACGUAGGCGGCUUUCUAAGUCAGGGGUGAAAUCCUGGAGCUCAACUCCAGAACUGCCUUUGAUACUGGGGAGCUCGAGUCCGGAAGAGGUGAGUGGAACUCCGAGUGUAGAGGUGAAAUUCGUAGAUAUUCGGAAGAACACCAGUGGCGAAGGCGGGUCUCUGGGCCGUAACUGACGCUGAGGAGCGAAAGCGUGGGGAGCGAACAGG